UACAACUCCAGAGAUGGGCA
rnacentral:tRNA from 1 species